GCCGGGGUGGCGGAAUGGUAGACGCGCAGGACUUAAAAUCCUGUGUCCGCAAGGACGUGUGGGUUCGACUCCCACCUUCGGCACCG
rnacentral:tRNA from 1 species